UUGAAAAUCGAAAUGGGUAAGAAUGGAGACAAGUGUUUAGCCACAGAGAAUACAAUGCCACUACUCAGCUCAAAGAGCUUUUCUUUUUCCUUUUUAUUUUCCCACAAAAACAAAAUAGGCUCUCAUUAAGCUGACAAAAUUGACACUCAAAUCAGCCAUAUCGAUAGGAGAGAAGUACGGCCACAAUGGAGCUUCGUUUUGCUGAUAGAAUUUUUAAUGGAGACAACUAUUGACAUAGAUGAGAACCCCCAGCGAAGUUGAUAGUAUUGGUGAAUCUCACAUUGGUUCAAGCAAAGGGGGCCUUUAUCAUUUAUUGUUGUGUCCUUCCUUUAUAACUCGUAAUAUUGCUCCAUUCAUUAGUUUCAUGUGUACUUUGUUCAUCAUGUUACUUAUAAGUGUUCAUCAUAGAAAGUUAGUAAGAUCAUUUGUAGAAUAGAUUAAUCAAAUGAGAAUACAGAUAGAAUAUGGGUGCUCUUCAAUGCAUAAUAUUGAGAACUCCAAUUGGUGAUGACUUUUUUUCGAGUGCUGCUUGUGUUGUAUGAUUCUAGCUGAGACAGGUAAAUUUGGAUAGUUCUAGAAAUAGGGGAAACUCUGUCAAAUUUUUUUGUAAAAUUUGGAGCUCUUCUCCUGGCCUUGAAUUGGGUUGCUGACAUUUUCCUAGUUAGCAAAUUUAAAAUGCACAAAUAAAAUUGGGAUUUACAUAUUGGAUGUAAUGCUGCAAAGGUGAAGAGCAGAGUAUUUUACCUGAGUUUGUUGAAUAUCAAGUUCUUGUGAUAGAACAACAUGAUGAUGUUGUGAAGGCAGGGUGUUAGUAGUGUAUUCCAUCAUCAGCUAUAAAUCAUGAGAAUAUUUAUGUCAUUUUUUCAAGAAAAAUUGUGAGGCAAUAUGUAAUGAAAGAGGCAUUUUGUGAAAUGAUUUACCUGAAUGCAAUGCAGUAUGCCUGAAUGCUUUUGCUUGCCUAUUC